rnacentral:rRNA from 1 species
UUCGGAGGGGGCUAGCGUUGUUCGGAAUUACUGGGCGUAAAGCGCACGUAGGCGGUCUGUUAAGUCGGGGGUGAAAUCCUGGGGCUCAACCUCAGAAUUGCCUCCGAUACUGGCAGUCUCGAGUGCGGGAGAGGUGAGUGGAAUUCCCAGUGUAGAGGUGAAAUUCGUAGAUAUUGGGAAGAACACCAGUGGCGAAGGCGGCUCACUGGCCCGUAACUGACGCUGAGGUGCGAAAGCGUGGGGAGCAAACAGG